rnacentral:rRNA from 6 species
ACGGGUGAGUAACGCGUGAGAAUCUAGCUUCAAGUCGGGGACAACCACUGGAAACGGUGGCUAAUACCGGAUGUGCCGAAAGGUGAAUUAUUUAUUGCCUGAAGAUGAGCUCGCGUCUGAUUAGCUAGUUGGUGUGGUAAGAGCGCACCAAGGCGACGAUCAGUAGCUGGUCCCAGAGGAUGAUCAGCCACACUGGGACUGAGACACGGCCCAGACUCCUACGGGAGGCAGCAGUGGGGAAUUUUCCGCAAUGGGCGAAAGCCUGACGGAGCAAUACCGCGUGAGGGAGGAAGGCUCUUGGGUUGUAAACCUCUUUUCUCAGGGAAUAAAAAAAUGAAGGUACCUGAGGAAUAAGCAUCGGCUAACUCCGUGCCAGCAGCCGCGGUAAUACGGAGGAUGCAAGCGUUAUCCGGAAUGAUUGAGCGUAAAGCGUCCGCAGGUGGCACUGUAAGUCUGCUGUUAAAGAGCAAGGCUCAACCUUGUAAAGGCAGUGGAAACUACAGAGCUAGAGUACGUUCGGGGCAGAGGGAAUUCCUGGUGUAGCGGUGAAAUGCGUAGAGAUCAGGAAGAACACCGGUGGCGAAAGCGCUCUGCUAGGCCGUAACUGACACUGAGGGACGAAAGCUAGGGGAGCGAAUGGGAUUAGAUACCCCAGUAGUC